rnacentral:misc_RNA from 1 species
UCGUACAACCGAGGUGCGAGGGCUGUCGCUGACCUUUAAAGGUUGUGCACGCUCGAGCAACUCUCACACAUCCAUCUCACCUCUGUGCAUCACCGCGUGGGUCCCCCUUUGCAAGGGAGGGCUUGCGUUUUAACACACAAAACUUGAUACAGUGUAGAAUGUCUAUUUUUGCGGUCACACGCAAUCAAUA